rnacentral:rRNA from 1 species
UAGGAACCCCGAGUGCCAGCAUAGGCUGGCUGUCCACCAGUGUAAACAGCUGGUGAAGAAAGGGCCGGGCAAGACCGGUGCCAGCCGCCGCGGUAAUACCGGCGGCUCGAGUGGUGGCCGCUAUUACUGGGCUUAAAGGGUCCGUAGCUGGAUAUACAAGUCCCUUGAGAAAUCCGCCGGCUUAACUGGCGGGCGUUCAGGGGAAACUGUGUUUCUAGGGACCGGGAGAGGUGAGAGGUACUGCCGGGGUAGGAGUGAAAUCCUGUAAUCCCGGUGGGACCACCAAUGGCGAAGGCAUCUCACCAGAACGGGUCCGACAGUGAGGGACGAAAGCUGGGGGAGCAAACCGGAUUAGAUACCCGGGUAGUCCCAGCUGUAAACGAUGUGCGUUAGGUGUGUCAGUGACCACGUGUCACUGAGGUGCCGAAGGGAAACCGUGAAACGCACCGCCUGGGGAGUACGGUCGCAAGGCUGAAACUUAAAGGAAUUG